GGCUGUGAAUGAAAGCACAGUGCUCAGGGUGAUGCUGUGGAAGGACUCGUCAUUUCACACUGGGAUCAUUAGCAUUUCCUCACACGCAGGCAGUGACCACCAUUGUGGGGCAUCGCCCUCAGAUAAGGCACAGCUGAAGUAUCAGAUGCUCAGAGGAAGGAAGGAAUUGCCAUGAACAAAGCGUAUUGUGCCUCUGAGGAAUUGUCAGCUUCAAGUAUGUGCCAAAACAAGAUGCUUGUUAAGUCUGAAUUUCAGCAACAGAGAAGACACUUACUUCCUAAGAUGCUGCUGUGUUUAUGUCAAUGUAAAUUAUUGGGUAAAUUUAAAUGUAGUUUAACAAGCUUCCUUUCGUUGAGGGAGAUGAAAAUAUGACUUACCCUUAAAAAACAUUAUGGGGCCAGGCACAGUGGCUCAUACCUGUAGUUCCAGCACUUUGGGAAGCCCAGGUGGGCAGAUCAAGAAGUCAGGAGUUAGAGACCAGCCUGGCCAACAUGGUGAAACCCCAUCUCUACUAAAAAUACAAAAAUUAGCUAGGUGUGGUGGCAUGCACAUAUAAUCUCAGCUAUUUGGGAGGCCGAGGCAGGAGAAUCGCUUGAACCUGGGAGGAAGAGGUUGCAGUGACCCGAGAUUAUGCCACUAUACUCCAGCCUAGGUGACAGAUCAAGACUUCAUCUCAAAAAAAAAAAAAAAGAAACGAAAUCAAGUUAAGAUGUGUCCUACUGGAUUAGGGUGGGCCCUAACACAAUGACUGGUGUUAUUUCUCAAGAAGAGAGAAAUUUGGACACAUCGACAUGCACAGGGAAUGCCAUGUGAUGAUGGUGGCAGAGACUGAAGUGACAUAUCUACAAGCCAAGGUACAUGGAGGAUUGGCAGCAACUCCCUUCUCUGGAGCCUUGCAAGACAGGAUGGCCCUGCUGACACCUUGAUUUCAGACUUCUAGCUUCCAGAAUUGUGAGAAUAAAUUUCUGUUGUUUAGCCA
rnacentral:lncRNA from 13 species